rnacentral:rRNA from 1 species
UACAGAGGGUGCAAGCGUUAAUCGGAGUUACUGGGCGUAAAGGGCGCGUAGGUGGUUAUUUAAGUUUGAUGUGAAAUCCCUGGGCUUAACCUAGGAACUGCAUUGAAAACUGGAUAACUGGAGUACUGUAGAGGGUAGUGGAAUUUCCGGUGUAGCGGUGAAAUGCGUAGAGAUCGGAAGGAACACCAGUGGCGAAGGCGGCUACCUGGACAGAUACUGACACUGAGGCGCGAGAGCGUGGGGAGCAAACAGG